rnacentral:rRNA from 1 species
AUUGAACGCUGGCGGCAUGCUUUACACAUGCAAGUCGAACGGCAGCGCGGGGCAACCUGGCGGCGAGUGGCGAACGGGUGCGUAAUACAUCGGAACGUACCCAGAAGUGGGGGAUAACGUAGCGAAAGUUACGCUAAUACCGCAUACGUUCUACGGAAGAAAGUGGGGGACCUUCGGGCCUCAUGCUUUUGGAGCGGCCGAUGUCUGAUUAGCUAGUUGGUGAGGUAAAGGCUCACCAAGGCGACGAUCAGUAGCUGGUCUGAGAGGACGACCAGCCACACUGGGACUGAGACACGGCCCAGACUCCUACGGGAGGCAGCAGUGGGGAAUUUUGGACAAUGGGCGCAAGCCUGAUCCAGCAAUGCCGCGUGAGUGAAGAAGGCCUUCGGGUUGUAAAGCUCUUUUGUCAGGGAAGAAACGGCUGAGGAUAAUACCUUCGGCUAAUGACGGUACCUGAAGAAUAAGCACCGGCUAACUACGUG